rnacentral:miRNA from 2 species
UCACAGCCAAUAUUGAUGAA